rnacentral:rRNA from 1 species
GUCGCCCUCGUCCAAUGGACCCGGCCUUACCCAGGCUGGCACAAGCUCAACUUUGACGGGUCCGUCCACCACGACGGCUCCGGGCGUGCGAGCAUCGGAGGCGUCAUCAGGGACUCAUACGGCCACACCAUGCUCGCGUUCGCUGAGAGGACGCCGCACGCGGGUGUCGGCCAGGUCGAAGCUAGGGCGCUUAUUCGUGGGCUCAACCACGCGCUUGCGAUCGGAUGCAAUCGGCUCGUUGUCGAGGGCGACGACCUCACCUUGGUGAGGCUGCUUCGCCGUGAGUCGGCGCACACGCGCAUUCCUUGGGACAUGUACCACCACAUCGUCCGUCUCCUUUGCUGCUUCGAGGAUGUCGAGGUGCGGCACGUCUACCGAGAAGGCAACCAGGUGGCCGACACCCUCUGCCAUGAAGCGUAUCGGCGCCCCGGAGUGUGGGGAUUGCACCAGCUGCUCCCACCUGCCGUCUGGGCCAAGGUCGAGGACGACCGUCACGGUGCAGUAUACGAGCGACUCCGACGGUCACGAAGAUGA